rnacentral:rRNA from 1 species
GAUCUGGUUCAGGAUGAACGCUAGCUACAGGCUUAACACAUGCAAGUCGAGGGGCAGCAUUGGAGUAGCAAUACUUCAGAUGGCGACCGGCGCACGGGUGAGUAACACGUAUCCAACCUGCCGCUUACUCGGGGAUAGCCUUUCGAAAGAAAGAUUAAUACCCGAUGGUAUAAAGAGUUCGCAUGUUCUCUUUAUUAAAGAAUUUCGGUAAGCGAUGGGGAUGCGUUCCAUUAGAUAGUUGGCGGGGUAACGGCCCACCAAGUCUACGAUGGAUAGGGGUUCUGAGAGGAAGGUCCCCCACAUUGGAACUGAGACACGGUCCAAACUCCUACGGGAGGCAGCAGUGAGGAAUAUUGGUCAAUGGACGAGAGUCUGAACCAGCCAAAGUAGCGUGAAGGAUGACUGCCCUAUGGGUUGUAAACUUCUUUUAUAAGGGAAUAAAGUGAGGGACGUGUCCCUUUUUGUAUGUACCUUAUGAAUAAGGAUCGGCUAACUCCGUGCCAGCCGCGGC